rnacentral:lncRNA from 1 species
AGAAAUGCUUGUAACCUGUGUUUGUUGCAUUGCUAUUCACAGCAGAUAGACUGUGGAGCCAGCUUACCAACAGACAGACAAGUAAGACAAUGUGAAGCAGGUACAGGUGUAUAUGUGUGAGCAUGCCCACAUGUGCACACGCGCGAGCGCGCGCGCACGCGCGCGCACACACACACACACACACACACACACACACGCACAAACACACACACACACACACACACCACACACUCGUGUGCACACGUGCUUCCUAUAUGGACUAUUUAACUCUUUUAUCAGUAGACAGCAUUACAUUCUUGUGGUCCUGUUGCUGUCCAGCCUAUGUGCACAUAACCUAGCAUGCAGUCACCCAGGAAGUUGAGGGUCUUCCUAAUAUAUCCUGAUUGACAACAUUUCUAGGAUAUAGCUGGCAGUUUACCAUUUGGAUUUAUUUUCCUAGAAAUAUCGUAGUACUUUUCAAUAAAGAGAUUUAGAAAUUUUACUGUUUCUAAAUGUUUUUCUUCAAUAACAGUUUUCUGCCUGUAGUAUUUUACUAUGUCAGGGAUUUUCGUUCUAUUUGUUAGGGUUUUUUGCUUAUCUUUCAUUUCUCUUAGAGAUUUAUUUUUAUUUGUGUGUGUGUGUGUGUGUGUGUUUGUGUAGGUGCACAAAUUUGUGUGCACACAUUUGUGUUUGUGUAGGUGUGUACUCAGUGUAUAUGAGCAGAGAGGAAAGGAGCCUAGAGAAGUCAGAAGAUGGAGUCAGGUUCCUUGAAGCUGGAAUUAUGGAUGUUUGUGAGUUGCCAAACAUGAGUUCUAGAAACUGACUCCUGGUCCUCUGUGAGAGCACCAGGUGCCCUUAAGAGCUGAGCCAUCACUCCAGUCCCUGUCUUCCAUUUGAACCAUUUUAAUGUUUUCUCUCUGACUCUUUCUAUUUAUUUCUUUAUCUUCCCUUUUUGGUUGUUUUUUUUUUCUUCUUUCUUUAAUAAAACCUAUUAAAUUGUCACUGAAAUAAAUUUAAUUUUGGGCAUGUAUAUUGUACCCUUCCUAUCUGAUUAUAGACCUAUCUUUGUCCUCAAUUUCUUUUCUGGGUAAAAUAAAAACACAACUUCCUGUGUUUUCUUUUUAGAUUAUUUCUAGCCUUUGUCUCUAAGCAUGUGAUUUCUAAGAAUUGUGUGUUAAAACAGCUACUAGUUGUUGAUUGACACAAUUUGAUUUAUUUUGCAGUGCUGUUGGUUCAUGAUGUUUUCAGCAUUAUAUGAGCUUUAAUAAGAUUGCUAGUUUUGGUGUUCUUGUACAUUCUCUGUGCAAGGGUCCUAGGACAAGGCUUACUGUCUGUCCAUGAGGUGAUGCUGUCAAAAAGGAAGAGCUGCUAUCUUUGGCUUCGCUUCUACAAAACCCUACCCUCACUUUAGUUCCUUCUUUAUUCGAUGACCAAAGGGUGGUCUAUUUGUCUCUUCCUGCUUGACUUGAGCAGCCACGACACUGGCCUGUGCUUUGUGCGUCUUCAUGGUUUUGUCUGCUCUUUCUGGAGGUGACUUGUCUGCAUCCUCUCUAGCACUCCCCUUAAGAAGCUUUUUUGCAGUCACUCCUGACUUGCACACCAAGGGUUGCGUCAGUGGGGUGCUUUAUUGACUCCUUCUUUAGUUGUGGGUCACAUUAACUGUGUUUCCCAAUCCUCCUAAUGUGAGGGCUGUGUUGGGUCUACUUCUCCUUCUCUUCCUUGUGAUUAUCUGAUGGCGGGGUUGCUGCACAGAGACAUUUGGAUUUAGCUUUAUAUUAGGAUUGGGAUAGUUCUCCCUUGGGGCCAGCUAAAAAUCCUUGGAAAUCAUGUGAAUGGCCAAGUUUUCACAGUGACUGAACAAAUCUUUAUUGAGCACCGUGUGUGGAUCAGACUCAGGCGAGGCAUCAAGGAUAUAACCUUGAGCAAAAGCAAACAGGGCCUCUGCUCCCACUGAGCAGGUAGUUCAGGGAGUAAUGGACAUUAAUCAUUGCUCAAAGACUCUAUGGGAAGGCCAUAGAUCUGCAAGACUGUACAGUAAGGAAGUGUGGUUGGAGGGAAAGGAGAGUGAGCCCAAGGGAAUGGUGCUGCCAUUAAAACAUGAAGGAGUGUUAUCAAAGCAAGAUUUCUCUCUCCCACUCCCUCCAUACCUUCCCCCUCUGCCUGUCUGGCUCUCUGUGUGUAUGUUUAGUGUGUUGUGUGUUUAGUGUGUGUAUCUGUCCAUGUGUGUAUGUGUGUGUUUAGCAAGUGAUCAGAUAAGAGAGUAGAAAGUCUCUAAAGAGCUCUGGGAUUACAGAGAACAUGAACUUUGAACUCUCAGGGAACAUAAAUCCUUUACAUUUCAAGGAACUGAAAGGAGGCCCUUAGGGCAGGAGAUGAGAGUGUAAAUGAGUGUGUAUUAGGUGCUGGAGAGGUGGUUCAUUGAUAAAGUGCUUGCCAUGCAAACAAGAGGACCUGAGCUUCCCAGCCCCUACGUAGAAACAAGGUACAAUGGUAUAUACCCAAAUCCUAGUGUCAGGGAGGCAAAGGCUACAGGAACUCUGUGGUUUGCUAGAUAGUCCAUCUAGGCCAAUUGAGGAGCCCCAGGUUCAGUAAGAGACCCCACAGACAGAGGGGGGAGAGGGAAAGAGAGAGAGAACAAUAACACACACACACACACACACACACACACACACACACACACACACACACAGAGUGAAUAUAUUGGAUUCAGGAACCUUGUUAAACCUAUAGAUGAACUCUAGUAUAAAUAAGAGACUUUAGACUUUAUACUGGGAGAUUUUCAAGGUUUUCAAGCAACAUUGAAAAGAUGAGAUUUAUAUUUUCAGAAGUGUUGAUAAUUAAUUAUAUAGAAGUCAAAAUAAAAGGGGAAUGGAGCAAUUAGACACUGGUUGUGGUGGUGCAAGCCUUUAAUCCCAGCACUCAGGAGGCAGAGGUGGGCAGAUCUCUGUGAGUUCAAGGCUAGUCUGAGUUCCAGGAAAGCCAGGGCUAUACAGAGAAGCCCUGUCUCCAAUGACAAAAAAAC